GACGAACGCUGGCGGCGUGCUUAACACAUGCAAGUCGAACGGAAAGGCCCUGCUUUUGUGGGGUGCUCGAGUGGCGAACGGGUGAGUAACACGUGAGUAACCUGCCCUUGACUUUGGGAUAACUUCAGGAAACUGGAGCUAAUACCGGAUAGGAGCUCCUGCAGCAUGGUGGGGGUGGGAAAGUUUCGGCGGGUGGGGAUGGACUCGCGGCUUAUCAGCUUGUUGGUGGGGUAGUGGCUUACCAAGGCUUUGACGGGUAGCCGGCCUGAGAGGGUGACCGGCCCCAUUGGGACUGAGAUACGGCCCAGACUCCUACGGGAGGCAGCAGUGGGGAAUAUUGCACAAUGGGCGGAAGCCUGAUGCAGCAACGCCGCGUGCGGGAUGACGGCCUUCGGGUUGUAAACCGCUUUCGCCUGUGACGAAGCGUGAGUGACGGUAAUGGGUAAAGAAGCACCGGCUAACUACGUG
rnacentral:rRNA from 1 species